CCCACGGGUGGCUGCAGUGGGGAAUAUUGGACAAUGGGGGCAACCCUGAUCCAGCCAUGCCGCGUGUGUGAAGAAGGCCCUCGGGUUGUAAAGCACUUUCAGUGAGGAAGAACGCCUGGUGGUUAAUACCCAUCAGGAAAGACAUCACUCACAGAAGAAGCACCGGCUAACUCCGUGCCAGCAGCCGCGGUAAUACGGAGGGUGCGAGCGUUAAUCGGAAUUACUGGGCGUAAAGCGCGCGUAGGUGGCUUGAUAAGCCGGUUGUGAAAGCCCCGGGCUCAACCUGGGAACGGCAUCCGGAACUGUCAAGCUAGAGUGCAGGAGAGGAAGGUAGAAUUCCCGGUGUAGCGGUGAAAUGCGUAGAGAUCGGGAGGAAUACCAGUGGCGAAGGCGGCCUUCUGGACUGACACUGACACUGAGGUGCGAAAGCGUGGGUAGCAAACAGGAUUAGAUACCCCGGUAGUC
rnacentral:rRNA from 1 species